rnacentral:rRNA from 1 species
GAGUAGUGUGCCAACACGUCGCCACACCGCAAGGAGGGAGCGGCCUAAGGCAAGAUCAAUGACUGGGGCG